UACAGAGGUCCCAAGCGUUGUUCGGAUUCAUUGGGCGUAAAGGGUGCGUAGGCGGCGCGGUAAGUCGGAUGUGAAAUCUCGGGGCUUAACUCCGAAACUGCAUUCGAUACUGCCGUGCUUGAGGACUGGAGAGGAGACUGGAAUUUACGGUGUAGCGGUGAAAUGCGUAGAUAUCGUAAGGAAGACCAGUGGCGAAGGCGGGUCUCUGGACAGUUCCUGACGCUGAGGCACGAAGGCCAGGGGAGCAAACGGG
rnacentral:rRNA from 1 species